rnacentral:sRNA from 1 species
AUUCUGCCCAUGCGGGGAAGGAUGAGAAGGUUCGACUCGAGCGCCAGCGAGAGAGCGUUGCCGCAGGCAACGACCCGAAGGGCGAAGCGCGCAGCGCUGAGUAAUCCUUCCCCCACCACCA